rnacentral:rRNA from 1 species
GCGUAAGCGACGUUCAACACAAAAAUCAGGCAGUGGAGCGUUUUGGGGUGGGGUGACUGCGUACCUUUUGUAUAAUGGGUCAGCGACUUAUAUUCUGUAGCAAGGUUAACCGCAUAGGGGAGCCGGAGGGAAACCGAGUCUUAAUUGGGCGUUAAGUUGCAGGGUAUAGACCCGAAACCCGGUGAUCUAGCCAUGGGCAGGUUGAAGGUUGGGUAACACUAACUGGAGGACCGAACCGACUAAUGUUGAAAAAUUAGCGGAUGACCUGUGGCUGGGGGUGAAAGGCCAAUCAAACCGGGAGAUAGCUGGUUCUCCCCGAAAGCUAUUUAGGUAGCGCCUCGUGAAUUCAUCUCCGGGGGUAGAGCACUGUUUCGGCCAGGGGGCCAUCCCGGCUUACCAAUCCGAUGCAAACUGCGAAUACCGGAGAAUGUUAUCACGGGAGACACACGGCGGGUGCUAACGUCCGUCGUGAAGAGGGAAACAACCCAGACCGCCAGCUAAGGUCCCAAAGUCAUGGUUAAGUGGGAAACGAUGUGGGAAGGCCCAGACAGCCAGGAUGUUGGCUUAGAAGCAGCCAUCAUUUAAAGAAAGCGUAAUAGCUCACUGGUCGAGUCGGCCUGCGCGGAAGAUGUAACGGGGCUAAACCAUGCACCGAAGCUGCGGCAGCGACACUGAUGUGUUGUUGGGUAGGGGAGCGUUCUGUAAGCCGUUGAAGGUGGCCUGUGAGGGUUGCUGGAGGUAUCAGAAGUGCGAAUGCUGACAUAAGUAACGAUAAAGCGGGUGAAAAGCCCGCUCGCCGGAAGACCAAGGGUUCCUGUCCAACGUUAAUCGGGGCAGGGUGAGUCGACCCCUAAGGCGAGGCCGAAAGGCGUAGUCGAUGGGAAACGGGUUAAUAUUCCCGUACUUGGUGUUACUGCGAAGGGGGGACGGAGAAGGCUAUGUUGGCCGGGCGACGGUUGUCCCGGUUUAAGCGUGUAGGUGUGUGUUCCAGGUAAAUCCGGUUCACUUUAACACUGAGGCGUGACGACGAGGCACCACGGUGCUGAAGCAACAAAUGCCCUGCUUCCAGGAAAAGCCUCUAAGCCUCAGGUAACAUCAAAUCGUACCCCAAACCGACACAGGUGGUCAGGUAGAGAAUACCAAGGCGCUUGAGAGAACUCGGGUGAAGGAACUAGGCAAAAUGGUGCCGUAACUUCGGGAGAAGGCACGCUGACACGUAGGUGAAGUGGUUUACCCAUGGAGCUGAAGUCAGUCGAAGAUACCAGCUGGCUGCAACUGUUUAUUAAAAACACAGCACUGUGCAAACACGAAAGUGGACGUAUACGGUGUGACGCCUGCCCGGUGCCGGAAGGUUAAUUGAUGGGGUCAGCGCAAGCGAAGCUCCUGAUCGAAGCCCCGGUAAACGGCGGCCGUAACUAUAACGGUCCUAAGGUAGCGAAAUUCCUUGUCGGGUAAGUUCCGACCUGCACGAAUGGCGUAAUGAUGGCCAGGCUGUCUCCACCCGGGACUCAGUGAAAUUGAACUCGCUGUGAAGAUGCAGUGUACCCGCGGCAAGACGGAAAGACCCCGUGAACCUUUACUAUAGCUUGACACUGAACACUGGUCCUUGAUGUGCAGGAUAGGUGGGAGGCUUUGAAGUGUGGACGCCAGUCUGCAUGGAGCCAUCCUUGAAAUACCACCCUUUAAUGGCUGGUGUUCUAACGUGGGCCCGUGAACCGGGUUGCGGACAGUGUCUGGUGGGUAGUUUGACUGGGGCGGUCUCCUCCUAAAGAGUAACGGAGGAGCACGAAGGUUGGCUAAUCCUGGUCGGACAUCAGGAGGUUAGUGCAAUGGCAUAAGCCAGCUUGACUGCGAGCGUGACGGCGCGAGCAGGUGCGAAAGCAGGUCAUAGUGAUCCGGUGGUUCUGAAUGGAAGGGCCAUCGCUCAACGGAUAAAAGGUACUCCGGGGAUAACAGGCUGAUACCGCCCAAGAGUUCAUAUCGACGGCGGUGUUUGGCACCUCGAUGUCGGCUCAUCACAUCCUGGGGCUGAAGUAGGUCCCAAGGGUAUGGCUGUUCGCCAUUUAAAGUGGUACGCGAGCUGGGUUUAGAACGUCGUGAGACAGUUCGGUCCCUAUCUGCCGUGGGCGCUGGAAGAUUGAGGGGGGCUGCUCCUAGUACGAGAGGACCGGAGUGGACGCAUCACUGGUGUUCGGGUUGUCAUGCCAAUGGCACUGCCCGGUAGCUACAUGCGGAAGAGAUAAGUGCUGAAAGCAUCUAAGCACGAAACUUGCCCCGAGAUGAAUCUUCCCUGAGCCUUUAAGGCUCCUGAAGGAACGUUGAAGACGACGACGUUGAUAGGCCGGGUGUGUAAGCGCAGCGAUGCGUUGAGCUAACCGGUACUAAUGAACCGUGAGGCUUAACCUU